CCCGGUGCGCCACAAUUUGAAGCGGGACAAUGUUUGACACUGAAAAUUACAAGUUAUGAUGGAUAUGACAACCGAGGCAGGAACACCGCGUCACUUUGACCUGAAACAAAAAAAAUACCGGCGCCAAGGCCUGGAUUUGAAGACCCCUCGACUAGUGUUUCAACUGUUGUGUACGACUCAAAAACAACUGAACUGAAAGUUCAUUCAUAUGUGGCUAUUUAAGCUGUGUGAGUGGAAUCACUGAGAGACUGCUGAUGAGAAGAGCCUGACUCGGAGAACAUCAAGACAUCUUAAAUAAGUCGGAAGCUUCCCUCUUUUCUCUGUAAAGUUUUUACUUCUAUGAAAGGUUGUAAUUACUAUGUCAACUGCAAUAUUAGAAAAAAUUUCCUCUCUUGCUCAGACAGUAAGUAAGAAGACAGUGAAAAGUAGACAGCAACACAAAAACAAUGUUGAUACCUAAAUGUUGGGGGAAUCCCAGGUUACAGAGUAACUGUUCUUUUUAUUGGAGGAGAUCUACGGAGGAUUGGCACAUGAUGUAGAGGUAGAGUAGACGCCCCAUGUGCCGUGGCUGUUAGCCCUCAACAUGGUACUCCUGACUCCCAAUCCUUCACUACAGGUCUUCCCCCCUUUUUCCUUCCCAUUUCCUGUCUAAUUCUGAAAAUCAAAGCCAGCAGUGCCACAAAAAACAUCUUAUAAACAUGAUAGCAGUCAACAUAACAUAGCAUGACAUAUUUAUGUUUUACUAUUUACAGUUAAUCAGUGUCUGAGUUUUUAUUAAGUAAUCCAUUGCUUACUUUUUUGUUGGGGUACAUGGCAUGACAAGCUAAUUUUUGCUUAGUCUUUGAGCAACAAGCUGGAAAAGGAUCCAUAUUCAUCUUGGCACGUUUCACAGAAAGCAGAAUGAUAAGAGAGUUAAAAAAAUCAUCAGUCUGAUGAUUAAAAAUGGCCACACUCUCUGUAACAUCGAUUAGAGACCAUCUGUAGUACCACCCUAAAGUGUUAACGGUAAUCUGUGCAGUGUACUCAGUUAUUUAGACAAUGGACUUGUUUUUAUUUAUUUAUUUAUUUUUUUCAGUUUGUCUUUUUUUAUACUGGUUGUGAUUGUGUAUGUCCCCUUAUGCAGUAAUUUGUCAAAUAUAUAUAUGUUUUAUACGUUUGUGUAUGAUUUCUGUAUGUUGCUUUUUUUUUUAUUUAAU